rnacentral:rRNA from 1 species
ACGGCGAAUUGUAGUUUCGAGAAGUACUUUCAGGCGCAUCGAGUUUGCCUAAGUUGCUUGGAACAGCACGUCAUAGAGGGUGACAACCCCGUACGUGGCAAUGCUCGAGCGCUCGCGAUGUGCUUUCGAAGAGUCGGGUUGUUUGGGAAUGCAGCCCAAAACGGGUGGUAAACUCCAUCUAAAGCUAAAUACAGGCACGAGACCGAUAGCGAACAAGUACCGUGAGGGAAAGAUGAAAAGGACUUUGAAAAGAGAGUUAAAAAGUACGUGAAACCGUUGAAAGGGAAGCGAAUGGAGUUAGCAAUUCGCCCUGCCAGACUCAGCCGCUCGCGAGUAGCGACGCGCGCGUUCUCGAUCCCUAUAGACGAGGCGCGUGCGGGUGCGACUUGCGGACGGCGCACUUCUGGCGGGCGAGCGUCAGCGUCGGUUGUCGAGGGGCGAGAAGGUCGCGAGGAAGGUGGACCGGCCUCACGGCCGGUUGUUAAGCCUCGCGCUCGCACGGCCCGACGACGACCGUGGCUCGGGGAGGCGACGCGUGCCUGGCUGGCGACUCGCUCGAUCGGUCCGGCAUGUCGA